rnacentral:sRNA from 1 species
CAUUGGGUUUAGAGAUAGGACCAUCUACUUGUUAUUCACGGUUUGUGUCAUUGGGUAGAUGGGGUGCUAUUCUUGUAUGCAUAGGUUGGCACUUACCUUUAGCAUUCUUCUAAAGCUCAGUCCUUUUUCAUUGAGAGUCCCCUGCUAUUAAAACCUGAACCACUUAACA